rnacentral:lncRNA from 1 species
AGCAUGAGCAUACAAGCUGUCGAUAGGUCUGCUAGCAGCAGCCGUGCUGCAGCGGAGAGAAAAAUCAAGAAACAAGUCAUAGCAACACUGGGCACCAGGUUCUGCCAAGCGUUCAGAAAUCUGUUGGGUGUCCAGAGGCCUCUGGGUAGCCUAGGCUAAGAUGUCACGCAAGGUGGCACAGGCAGUUCCCAUGGGGAGUACGUGGGAACGGGUGGGGGCAGGAGUGAGUACAAGAGUUGGUAGGGUGGCAGUGGAAGGCUUAAUCAGAGUGGAUUCUGGAACAUUCAGGACUGCGGCACCUUGUAUCUGGACAGGGAUUUGGGACUGUGCAGGAGACGACUGGUGGUCCAGUGUGGCUUAAGGACUUGAUGGCGUAACCCACUUCUUCCACGGAGGAGACUGGGGAGAUGGAUUUGAAGAGGAUUGAACAAAUUGGAAGAAAAUAUUUGUCCUCUGCUUUGGUGUCAGAAAAGGGAAUUUUCCAAUCUGCCACACCUCAGUGUUGCGGCAAAAAUAAUUCUUGGCUCCCCUGGAAACUAUCGGGCAAGGUAGGGCAGAACUGCUGCUGCUGUCGCCAUUACCCUGGGCUUCCUAUUGAAUGGGCUGCUCCCAAGUGAACAGAUCUGCGUUGAUGCUCUGGUCGUCCAAAAGUCCUCAAAUCAGCUCUGAGCUGAGCCCACUAUUGGAAGAAUCUGCCUUUUGGAAGUUGACGCUACCUUGUGCUUGGGAAGAUUUGGCUCAAGCACUCUUUCCCUGCCUGGAGACUUAUUGGGGAUGUAAAAUGAGAGAAUAGCAGGUGACCAGCAAAUUAGGGGAGGAUUAAAUACUUCCAAGUUGUCACAGCAAGAAGAAAGAGGAAUAUCUCAGGAGUUUGACCUCAAGCCUACAAAGUGGUGGUAUUCUACCAAGAGUGAGUACACCUUUGUUUCUGAAGGGAUGAGGUGAUGGUCGG